UUGGUUUCAAAAUACACUCCACGAACAUAACCAACCUCAACUUAAAUUUAUCUAUAUAGUCUUCACAUGAAUGGAAUGCUUGAUGCAACAUUCUCAUAUUAAUUCUUCUCAAACCAUUGAAAUAUUGAUUUAUAAGACGAUGGUUAUUAUGAUUAAUCUCCACAGAUGAUUCAUGGCAUGGUAAUCCAGUGAUGAGACAAUAUUCUUGCAUACUAAAUCUGGCAACACGAUCACCUAAGCGUACCCACAGUUCGUUAUUUUUACCACAGUGUAUAAGCCUCAUCACAAAUUCAUGUAUCAA
rnacentral:lncRNA from 1 species